UACGGAGGGGGCUAGCGUUGUUCGGAAUUACUGGGCGUAAAGCGCACGUAGGCGGCUUUGUAAGUUAGAGGUGAAAGCCCAGGGCUUAACCCGUGGAAUUGCCUUUAAGACUGCAUCGCUAGAAUCGUGGAGAGGUGAGUGGAAUUCCGAGUGUAGAGGUGAAAUUCGUAGAUAUUCGGAAGAACACCAGUGGCGAAGGCGACUCACUGGACACGUAUUGACGCUGAGGUGCGAAAGCGUGGGGAGCAAACAGG
rnacentral:rRNA from 1 species